GGUCCUCCUGGCCACACAGGAAUCGAGGGCCCACCUGGAAGGAAAGGAGACCAGGGGGAUUUAGGACCUUGUGGGAAACCUGGUCCUAAAGGGCCACCAGGAGAGAGGGGACCUCAGGGGGGGAAAGGACUACAAGGACCACCUGGACCAGUCGGUAAAGAGGGGGAUGUUGGACUUCCCGGUGAAGCUGGAGAUCCUGGACCCAAGGGGGAGAAGGUAAGCUUCAGUUUGAUUAAAAAUACAAUAUAUUGAACAAGCAGAUGAGUUCUCUCUGGGUGAUGUUUGCAGUUCCGGUCAUACUGUUGUUAUUGUGUGCAGGGUGAGCUGGGACCUCUUGGUUUGUCUGGUCGAGAGGGUCCCUGGGGACCCCUCGGAGAAAAUGGUGACAGGGGUCCAAAGGGGGAGAAGGGCAACUUGGGACUGAUGGUGAGAAUAUGUGAGAAUAACAGUUCAGUGGAAGUUGGAUGUUACAUUUUGAUAACACUACCCACAUUUCCUUCAAGCUUGUUCAGUUUCAAAACACCAACAGUGAGAUUUAUUAGAGCAAUUUUUAAGAGCACUGAAAUGCAAAAGGGUGACACAAAGGGUAGUUAUCUAAGAUCUAUCACUGUAAAUUAAACAAAGAAGUUCAUUUGGAUUUAUUAAAAUCACUGGAAACUGAUGUCUUCCUCUUGAACAGGGUGAACCAGGACUGAUGGGUGAACUAGGCCCUGUGGGUCUGCCUGGGUUACUGGUGAGUUGAAUACCAGAAUGUAGAGUAUUGAUGCUUUUGAUAUGCUGCUUAGAGUGCUUUUUGAAUUAACCUGUAUUGAAUAGUUCAUAGCUGUGACUGAUAUUUAUUGACACACAGUUGGCUUUUUCCCUCACAACUCUGCAGAUUGCAAACUGAUGUUAAUGUGCAGCUUUAUUGUGCUGUGAUUCUUUUCUCAUUUCAGGGAAUGACAGGUCCUCCUGGACGUCCAGGUCCCGAUGGACCUCAGGGAGAGAAGGGCGAGCAUGGGCCUGUAGGAAUUACUGGACCGCCGGGUUCAGGAGGCCCUCGGGGGAUAAUGGGGUCACAUGGUGUCAGAGGAGAUCCUGGGAGGCUCGGACCACCUGGUCCAGUAGGACAUGCAGGACCAAAGGGACAUGAGGGAAGUAAAGGAGAACCUGGGGAACUGGGACUCAAGGGAGAGCCAGGACCUCCAGGCCCACCAGGGGAGCCGGUUAGUUUGAUAUGGGUCUUAUAUGUAUACUCCACUGUAUAACAUUUAUUAAACUAUAAUGGUGCUUUGCCAUCUUAAUAAUUACAUUAAAUCUAAAAACUGCAUCUGUCUAUAAUAUAUGACCUCUUAAAAACGUCCUCAUUAACCUUGAUCACUUGUGCAGGGCGAUGAUGGUCUUCCAGGAAUUCAGGGUCCUGGAGCUCUGCCAGGGUUAGAGGUGAAAACCAAACCACUAUUUUGAAUUGUAAAGACUGUACUUUUCCUGCUUAACAGCACUGACUUUGUAACUUCUUUUUUUAUCUUCUCUUUUCUUUAGGGGCCUCCCGGAGAGGUGGGGACCCCAGGGUCUCUCAGGUCCUAUAGGUGUUCCUGUGAGUGCAGUAUAUAGCAUGAAGUCACUAUAGAUGAUGAAAAAAUGCCGGCUUGUUUAAAAUUACUCUUCCUGCUUACAGAGUGUACACGUGAUGUGUUUGUGUGCCUGAAAGAUAGCCGCAAAUGAGAAAAAAAAAUUGUUCUUACAGGGAGUUCAAGGAAGACCGGGACCUGAAGGCAAACAGGGCAUGAAGGGGGAGAAGGUACAAUCCUCAUAUCAUAUCAUAUCAUAUCAUAUCAUAUCAUAUCAUAUCAAUCUGUCUAUCUGUCCAUCCAGAAAUGCAGCAUUUUAAACACACCACAUCUUAGUCAACUAGCAACAAGUGCACAAAAACACUAAAGAGGCCCUAGUGAUAUGUUGCACAAAAUGCAAUAUUCAGCUGCACCCACACAGGAAGCAUUUUGCAGCGAUAUGGGGACCAGAGAACACAGAAGAUGAAUGACAUUUGAUGAUUUAAGCAACUAUGGGCAAAAAAAAUGAUGAUUCCAGCAAGAGUCACAUGACAGGGUAGUAACCUGGAAUGCCUAUAAUCACCUUUCAGCUUUAGAGUAAUGCGCAACAAGUUUCAUGAGAC
ensembl:lncRNA